CCUACGGGCGGCAGCAGUGAGGAAUAUUGGUCAAUGGCCGAGAGGCUGAACCAGCCAAGUCGCGUGAGGGAAGACGGCCCUACGGGUUGUAAACCUCUUUUGUCGGGGAGCAAAGCGAGUCACGUGUGACUCAUUGAGAGUACCCGAAGAAAAAGCAUCGGCUAACUCCGUGCCAGCAGCCGCGGUAAUACGGAGGAUGCGAGCGUUAUCCGGAUUUAUUGGGUUGAAAGGGAGCGCAGGCGGAGGUGCAAGUCAGCGGUCAAAUUGCGGGGCUCAACCCCGUACUGCCGUUGAAACUGCAUGCCUUGAGUGCGCGAGAGGUAUGCGGAAUGCGUGGUGUAGCGGUGAAAUGCAUAGAUAUCACGCAGAACUCCGGUUGCGAAGGCAGCAUACCGGCGCGCAACUGACGCUCAUGCACGAAAGCGUGGGUAUCGAACAGGAUUAGAUACCCUUGUAGUC
rnacentral:rRNA from 1 species